rnacentral:sRNA from 1 species
GCUCGUGUCAAGUUGGUUGCCGCGGCAAAGCGGCAAUCGGCUGUGUGGCUAUCCAGUUAUACAGUUAACCCAUAGACUACAAAUUGUGUUAGCAGUUACUUAUGCGUGUCAGUGUGUGAGUGUGAGUGUAUGCGUGAGUGCCGCCGACAGGCAAUCAAUACGAACUAGAAAAGGAGAGGGUCAAAGAGACAGGGAGAGAGAGAGAGAGUGGGAGAGAGAGUGAAGGCGAGCAACAGCCGUCGGCAUUUAUACGGCAGGCCGCUAUUUAAAGUUGACGUUGAUGACGUAUGGACAAUAGAUGUCGCCACUUAAAGCCGUUAACCAGCGGCCACGGAAGCAGACGGCGGAAAUUACAAAUGCGUUGACAGGCGGCGAACAACCAAAACGGCUCAGCGGCUGCCAGCGACUGCAGCAAAAGAUGUGUCUACGCAACUAUGGCCAUGCCACGCGCGUUAUCAUUGGACACAUAAUUGCCCUCAAUCGGGCUAAAUGAAAACAACUCGUUGACGUUGCCGCCCCACAAACAAAAAUAACAAACAAAAAAAAAAAGUGUUGAGAGUAAGAAAAGCCUAUUACUAUAUCUUCUAUAAGUAACCGCACACUCCGCUCAUAUCUCAUAUAACAAUUAAGCGCUACGCGUCGCUUAAUUGAAAUGUUUCAAGGCAAACAAAUCAACGGGACAGACCGAAGCCCCAACAAAUUGUGGCACGCAAAUUGGAAUUUCAUUGUCUUCCACUGACAACGGCCAAAUUUUCCGCGCGCUCGGAUGACCCUUGGCUAUACAAUAUCCCAAAUAAUCGUAUACAAUGCGCUACCGUACCCAACGACACAACAACAAUGUUUCCCAGUUGACUCACGUAUCCUUGGUCAUGCCAUACCAUAGAUAUAGUCCUGGUAAACGUCCAAAUUCCUGUAAUAUUCGCUCGCAAAUGGCUUCAGCUGGUAUACAGCCGUUUCUUAACAGGGACAGCGAAAGUAUGCAAAACAAACUUGCGGUUUCUGAUUUGACAAUCGACUAAUAUAUUUGCUGCUACCGCAUAUGCAAUGUAAUUAUUCUGCAAGUAGAGAGAGGCUUACAUAAAACACCUGC